CUACGGGAGGCAGCAGUGGGGAAUAUUGGACAAUGGGGGAAACCCUGAUCCAGCCAUGCCGCGUGUGUGAAGAAGGCCUUUUGGUUGUAAAGCACUUUAAGCAGUGAAGAAGACUCUUCGGUUAAUACCCGGAGACGAUGACAUUAGCUGCAGAAUAAGCACCGGCUAACUCUGUGCCAGCAGCCGCGGUAAUACAGAGGGUGCAAGCGUUAAUCGGAAUUACUGGGCGUAAAGCGCGCGUAGGUGG
rnacentral:rRNA from 13 species